GAGCUGUCCAUGUGGCGACUCCUCACCCGGCCAAGAAGGCAGGCAAGACCCCAGCAACCAGCGACAAGUCGCCCAAGUCUGGAGGGUCGGUCGCGUGCAAGUCGUGCAGCAAGACAUUCAACAGCGAGGGUGCUCUAGCUUCGCACUCCAAGGCCAAGCACGAGGCCAAGUGAAGAGGAGAGGAAGAUGUUGGCUGGCUGGCUGGCUCCAGUUACUAUUAUUUUGAUCUGUCUGCCUGAUGAGAUUAUUAUCGUUAUGCUGCCUGCUGUGUUAGGCUCUCUACUUAUAUAUCUUAUGUUGUCGUACGUGUUCCCUACCUACCUUACCUAGCCUGAUCCUGAUGGAAGAGAAGGGAAGGGAAAAGGGAGAAACCGUUGAGCUGUUAGUUCGUCGUUGAAUCGAACAAAAAAGCCGCUGUGAUUCGGAAUUGGAAUUGGAAUUGGUUGGUGGAAUGCUAUGGU